AAUCAACGCUGGCGGCGUGCCUAACACAUGCAAGUCGCACGGCGGGGGCAACUCCGUCAGUGGCGGACGGGUGAGUAACGCGUAGGAAUCUAUCCUUGAAUGGGGGGACAACCGUGGGAAACUACGGCUAAUACCGCAUGAUGCCUGAGGGCCAAAGGCGCAAGUCGCCUGAGGAGGAGCCUGCGUCCGAUUAGCUAGUUGGUGGGGUAAAGGCCUACCCAAGCCUACGAUCAGUAGCUGGUCUGAGAGGAUGAUCAGCCACAUUGGGACUGAGACACGGCCCAAACUCCUACGGGAGGCAGCAGUGGGGAAUAUUGGACAAUGGGCGCAAGCCUGAUCCAGCAAUGCCGCGUGGGUGAAGAAGGUCUUCGGAUUGUAAAGCCCUUUUGGCGGGGACGAUGAUGACGGUACCCGCAGAAUAAGCUCCGGCUAACUUCGUG
rnacentral:rRNA from 1 species